UACGUAGGGGGCUAGCGUUGUCCGGAAUCAUUGGGCGUAAAGCGCGUGUAGGCGGUCCGGUAAGUCGGCUGUGAAAGUCGGGGGCUCAACCCUCGAAUGCCGGUGGAUACUGUCGGGCUAGAGUGCGGAAGAGGCGAGUGGAAUUCCUGGUGUAGCGGUGAAAUGCGCAGAUAUCAGGAGGAACACCAAUUGCGAAGGCAGCUCGCUGGGACGUAACUGACGCUGAGACGCGAAAGCGUGGGGAGCAAACAGG
rnacentral:rRNA from 1 species